GAUGAACGCUGGCGGCGUGCCUAAUACAUGCAAGUCGAGCGAACAGACGAGGAGCUUGCUCCUCUUACGUUAGCGGCGGACGGGUGAGUAACACGUUGAUAACCUACCUAUAAGACUGGGAUAACUUCGGGAAACCGGAGCUAAUACCGGAUAAUAUAUUGAACCGCAUGGUUCAAUAGUUAAAGACGGUUUUUCUUUCACUUUUAGAUUGAUCCGCGCCGCAUUAGCUAGUUGGUAAGGUAACGGCUUACCAAGGCAACGAUGCGUAGCCGACCUGAGAGGGUGAUCGGCCACACUGGAACUGAGACACGGUCCAGACUCCUACGGGAGGCAGCAGUAGGGAAUCUUCCGCAAUGGGCGAAAGCCUGACGGAGCAACGCCGCGUGAGUGAUGAAGGUCUUCGGAUCGUAAAACUCUGUUAUUAGGGAAGAACAAAUGUGUAAGUAACUAUGCACGUCUUGACGGUACCUAAUCAGAAAGCCACGGCUAACUACGUG
rnacentral:rRNA from 1 species